UCUACCACAGUUACCACUCUUAUAUCUUCCACGAGCUGAAGUGGGGUGAAAGUUUCAAGUUGAAACUUUCAACUCUUGCCAUGAUUUAUUUAUUGGUUAUAGACUGCAGUAGUUAACAGCGAGCCUUUUUUUGUCCCUUCCUUUGUCGGACCGAUAAACUGGCGGAAACUCCACGUCGGACUUAAAUUGAUGUUGGACAACAACGAUGGGAACAUGGCGGCCGCCCUGGUGCAGAUGACUUGUAUGUACAGGGGAAUGUUAGCGGUUAGGGCGACAGGUAUCAGGCCCCUGAUACCAGGGCUGGUCCCGGCUCACUUUCGGGCUUUCUCGAUGCGGAAAGAACCGGAAUUGGAGGACAACCCUUACUACAAUAAAUACCAGGAAAAGAUACAGAAAAUGCGCAGUUCCAGACCUCAAGAGUUCAAGGCCCGAAUGGAGAAACGCCACGAGUCCAAAAAAGAAAUACUGGGCUCGUCCAACCAAGCAGAUUUUGUGCGGGUCAUGGAACAACAGUUGGACAAGCGAGAUAAACUGGCAGCUGACAAUGGAACAUCAGGAGGUUUCACCAAAAAUAAGUCGCUGGGCUCCAUUCUCAACCUGGAGCUGAUCCAGGACAAGACAGGUGAAGAGAUUGCAGAGCUCUGGAGGAACUAUUAUGCCACCAAGGACACAAUCAGUGCUGUCAUUCCAAGACGGACAUAUGAGAUUAUUGCCACUCGAGCACAGUCAUGUCCUAUGUUCUUGUAUGCUCUGCCACAGAAUGAGGGUUAUGAGUUCUUUGUGGGUCAAUGGUCCAGCCAUGAGCUCCAUUUCACCUCCCUCAUCAACAUUCAGAUCAGUCUGGCACAUCCAUCAGGACUGUCUUUAGGUCAUGCCACAGCAUCUCAAUGGGGUUCAAGUCUGGACUUUGACUUGUCCACUCCAGAACGUGUAGUUUGUUCUUCUGAAACCAUUCUGAGGUUGGUUUACUUCUGUGUUUUGGAUCAUUGUCUUGUUGCAGCAUCCAUCCUCUUUUUAGCUUUAACUGUCUGACAGACGGCCUCAGGUGUUCCUAGGAAACAUCCUGAUAAACUUUUGAAUUCAUUCUUCCAUUAAUGAUUGCAAGUUGUCCAGGCCCCGAGGAAGCAAAACAGCCCCAAAUCAUGAUGCUCCCUCCACCAUGCUUCACAGUGGGGAUGAGGUGUUGAUGUUGGUGAGCUGUUCCAUUGUUCCUCCACACAUGAUGUUGUGUGUUAUUCCCAACAAUUCACAACUUCUGUUUCAACAGUCCACAAAAUAUUUUGCCACAACUUCUGUGUAGUGUCCUAGUGCCUUUUUGCAAACAUUAUACAAGCAGCAAUGUUUUUUUUUGUUUUUUGUUUUUUUUUUUUUGACAGGAUUGGCUUCCUCCGUGGAGUCCUCCCAUUAACACAAUUCUUGGCCAUAGUUUUACCUAUAGUUGAUGUGUGCAGAAAUAUUGGACUGUGCCAGUGAUUUCUGUAAGUCUUUAGCAGACACUCUAGGGCAGGGGUCCCCAUCUAGAGGUGUGCAUCGGCACUGCCCUCACGAUUCGAUUCGAUUACGAUUCGGAGGGCCACGAUUCGAUUCGAUUCAGAGGGUCACGAUUCGAUUCGGUUCAAUUCGGCAAUGCAUCGCGAUGCAUUAAAGCCUGGGAUGCAUUCAAAUUCUAAAGCAAUAUUUUUCGUGAAUCAUGAGGCAACACAAGCGGUCAGACAUUGAAAAAUUUUUAUUGGCUCUUGUGUCACUCUUGGUUGAAGUCAAAUGAAAAUAGUAUACUUUCAUAUAUAAAAAAAAGUAGCAGCCUUUCACACAGUGCAACAAAUAAAACGUAAAAUUUCAGGCUCUCGGCCUUUAAUACACAGGGUCGGGUCGGGGUGGAUUUUUUUAGGCCCGAAGUAAGCUCUAAUCGAGAGAGCAGAGAGAUAGGACAUAACAUAACAAUGGCUGAAGCAGAGAAAGUGGGAGCGAGAAAGAUUAUUGAUGCACCUAACACAUUAAAAGCAGACAUCUGGAGACAUUUUGGCUUCUACGAGGUUGGUGGGAAACUUGACCAGAGUUAUGCGGUGUGUAAAAAAUUAAACAUGAGAAUAAUAAUAAAAAUGGGGAAACCAAAUCCAUUGCAUCACCGGAAUUGCGCAGGGAAGAUUUUUCAACGUUCUUAUAUAUUUUUAAAUGCGCUGAAAUGCCUGUUGCCCGCAUCGAAUCGAAUCGUCCAUGCCCCGCAUCGGGAUGCAUCGCCACAUCGAGUAUUGUUGACACCCUUAUCCCCAUCUGCCGGGCCGCGGACCGGUACCGGUCCGUGGCGCAUUUGCUACCGGGCCGCACAGAAAUAAUAAUUUAAUAACGACCGCAUUCUGGCCGAAUUAACCCUGUGCCCCUGCUUAACACACCAAUAUCCCUGUCUACUCUAGAUAUAAUACUACAGGAUAGAUUAGAAUGUCGUCAUAGAAAGCCAUUGAGUGGACUGCUAGCAUUACAUCUUCUUUGUGUAUUUAUCUAUGUGCGCUUGUCCUCGAUAAUAAUGUAUUGCUAGUCCGCGGGCGCAGCAGAAGCACAUUUGUUCCCGGAAAUAAUUAGCCCCCACACGAGCGAAGAUGACUGGAAAACAGGCGUAUUUGGAGAUAUUUUUACGGCGAAAAGGGCACCUGACGAGCCUACAACCUCGAAGACCCACAAACUGCGAAGGAGUGGAUUCCUGACGCGUUUGUGAAUAAACCGAGUGAUUCGAGCAUGUCUGUGCAACAGUAAGAUCAACUUGUAGAGAUCGCAACUAACGGCGACCUUAUUAAACGUACAUUUGAGACAACAACUCUAAAUUAAAUUAAUUAAAAUCAUUCUGGAAUAUCCUGACAUCGCUACAAGAACAUUGAAAACCUUGCUACAAUUUCCAACAUGGUAUCUUUGUGAAGCGGGCUUCUUAAUUAAUGUUUAACAACAAGGCGUAACAACAAGGCGAAGUCGUUAAUGGUGAGAGCGGUGUGAAGUUGUUGUGUGCAGCUUACAUGGCAGGAUGUAUCUGAGGAGAACUUUUCUACAAGUCCUUCCAUGAUCAAGUUAAUAUUCCUCUUUCAAGAAAGUUUGUAGUGUUUACUUUGGUAUCACUGCAUUUGCGCAUUUUGCGGCUAUGUUUAACGUUACGUGCAUGCGCAGAACCGCAUCGUUGAAGUCAAAACACCGGUCCGUGAAAAAAAGACCCAAAUAACACCGGUCCGUGGUGCAUAAAAGGUUAGGGAUCCCUCCUCUAGGGUUCGUUUUUACCUCUCUGAGUAUUGUGCGCUCAUCUCUUGGCGUCAUCUUUGGUGGACGGCCACUGCUUGGGGGAGACCCAACAGUGCCAAACUCUCUCCAUUUGUAAACAACUUUUCUGACUGUUGAUUGAUGAACAUCCAGACUUUUUUUUAGAGAUGUAUCCUUUCCCAGCUCUAUACAAAUCAACAAUCCUUGAUCACAGGUCUUCAGAGAGCUCUUUUGACCAAGCCAUGAUGCACAUCAGACACGGCUUCUCAUCAAGACUAUUCUUACCCGACACAUGGGGAGAGUGCCCCAAGUCAAGUGAUCCUCUACCACUAUCCAGACUUGAAGGAGAACAAGGGCAUCGUGCUUAUGACUGCAGAGUUGGACCCCAAGUUCUUA